rnacentral:lncRNA from 10 species
GGCUGGGACUGUAGUUGUUUUGACAUUAAUGGUGAUGAGGUAUAAGAUACAGGCAUCAAAGUGACAGUUAAGGAGGACUGUUUCCUAUUUCCUCAGUUUAAUCUUCUCAGGUGAGUUUGAAGGUGCCAAAUAACAUAGAUUCCAGGAUUUGGAAAGGCCACACAGGUGUACAGUGAAAUAAUGAAGGAUUUAAAAGUUGUGUUGGAGAGAAAUAGAGUGAGCACAGACAUAAGAUUUCAAGGAAUAAGGAGGAGUAAACCACAGUCAGUGCUACUGGCAACAAGAAAAGAUUGACUCAUGAUAUGAAAGUCCAAGCUGAAGGCGGAGAGGGAAGGCUCUAGAAAAAGCAAUGCAGAACGAAGAAGUCACAUCCGUCACUUUCAAGCCUAGGUGUAUGAGGUGUGGGGGAGGAAAGCACAGGCAUCCCUGAGAAGCCUGUUGGAGAAUCAGCAUCCUCAGGGGAGAUUCGAGUUUCAAUCGGAGCAAGAAGCAUCCCAGAGGCACUUUAACCAAACCCUGGAGAGAGAAGAAAUAAGUAUAUUACUGUGUCGUCUUUGCACAGCAAGAACUUAGCAUCAUCCUCUUGUAUUUUGGAUUUUGUUUCCUAUUUCCUCAGUUUAAUCUUCUCA